GAGGGCGCCGCGCUGUCCAAAUAACACCCCCAGGGUGUCGGAGGGUCGGCACAGCCGGCGGGAGCCGCGCGUUUUCACCGAGGAGAGCGGGCCCAGCGGUAGCGGCGCGGGUGGGUGCUGGAGGAGGGCGGUACGGGGGCGUUUGGAAGCUGGGGCAGGCAGAGAUCUCGAGUGCUGCCUUUGGAGAAGCGCUGUUUAGCGGAAGACGUGACUGCGGACCUCAGCUGUGGUGAGGAAGGACCUGAACCAGAAGAUACCUUGAUGGCAAACUCAGCUGGGCAGGGGUCGUGCCUAUUUUUGGGCUUGUAGAGCCGUGUUCACAAGAAUGCUCAAUACACCAUCCUCCCUGCUAUUCUAAUGCUAGAUGAGAAAAACACAUCAUCAGUCUAAAUUCCAGGAAUGGAAAACAAAGUACCUGUCAUAUUGCAUUAAAAGAAGAUGAAAAAUCAAACAUCUGCUUUUCAUGAUAACGGACUAAAUUUUGCCUUACACCGCACUUAUUCUUGCUACGAACAUUUCCUUGAACUGUCAUAGGAUUUCAGAAGCCCCAACAGGAGAUGGGUAGCAUUCUAUUGUUAUCACAUCUUUAAUUAAGAGUUAAAAGAAGAAAUUAUUAAUGACCUUGAAACACCAGUUCUUGCAAUAUAUCCUUCCCCUGAUGAUGUUGUGUUUUUACUGCUUCUAAUUUAAA